rnacentral:ncRNA from 1 species
CGACUGUUUAAAUUAAACCAAAGCCAUUGUGAUGCCCCUAGCCGGGUGUGGCAACAAUGGGAUUUUUGCCCAUUCCUUUGAAAUUCAAAAGUGAAGAAUUUCAAGUAAGCGGCGGUUAACGGCGGGGAGUAAUUAGACUCUCUUAAGCUAGCCAAAUGCUUCGUCAUUUAAUAAGUGACGCGCAUGAAUUGGCUUUACGA